AGCAGUCGCCACGGGAAUACGGAGGGUGCAAGCGUUAUCCGGAUUUAUUGGGUUUAAAGGGUCCGUAGGCGGAUCUGUAAGUCAGUGGUGAAAUCUCACAGCUUAACUGUGAAACUGCCAUUGAUACUGCAGGUCUUGAGUAAAUUUGAAGUGGCUGGAAUAAGUAGUGUAGCGGUGAAAUGCAUAGAUAUUACUUAGAACACCAAUUGCGAAGGCAGGUCACUAAGAUUUAACUGACGCUGAUGGACGAAAGCGUGGGGAGCGAACAGGAUUAGAGACCCCCGUAGUCCCUGUCUCUUAUAC
rnacentral:rRNA from 1 species